UUGAUUUGAAAAGAAAUUCAC
ensembl:piRNA 21ur-14230 ncRNA